AUAAAUCAUUACUCAAAAUAGAGGUGGCGCUGUUUUCGACUUUCUAUUAGCUUGAGCGAGGUUUCUGCAGCCAUUGUGGUCGUUCGUUAGGUCUGGGGGUGGGGUACAUUGAAUCUCAGUCGACCGCGUGGCGCUGAACGUGCCGCGUGUUUUUAUUCCGCAUCAACAUUGUUACCUACCUAUUAAAGUUAUUCUGCCGUUAUUAACGCCCUUAAAAUGCCUCUCACGCCAGCUGAGAAGCAAGCAAGUUAACAGAAACAGAUCGAAGUUAUUUACAGGUUAUAUAAAAUUUAAGUAACAAUUAGAAACAGUUAACAAGAGAUAGGAGACGUAUAAAAAACAAUGCAACAGAGAAAAACGAAAGAAGUCUAAAAAUAAGGACGGCAAUCCAGAAAAUCCAGUAAAUGCUAUUAAAAAUGGCCAUGAAAAAGUUAAGAAUCUGAAGGAAAAGUAUGCUAUUGAUAAAAUAUUCGACAAGAAGGCCGUUAAAAUGUCUAGGCAGGAAAUACAAAUUAUACAAGAGUGUCUUGCUGUGGAUCAAAGU